UGCAGAAUCCCGUGAACCAUCGAGUCUUUGAACGCAAGUUGCGCCCGAGGCCAUCCGGUCGAGGGCACGCCUGCCUGGGCGUCACGC
rnacentral:rRNA from 1 species